CUUAGGCGGAUCGGUCUACGUUAUUGGCGUUUUCACACCCGUCCAAUCAAGCACGUAUACUCUCCAGAAAACGAAGACAUUGAGGCCGACUCACUUUUUGCCGUCAUUAUUUUUGUUGCGUCUCCAAAAACUCAUUCCAAACGGGGAGAGAUGGAUGUCCAGAUAGAUGGAUGUCCAGUACGACGGGGGCACACGGCGAUGUCUGUGGGCAUUCGUUCCACAAUAAACGCAGAAGCAGCCUAACAAACUACUGAACAGAUACUUCAAGAAGCAGCCUAACAAACUACUGAACAGAUACUUCAAGAAGCAGCCUAACAAACUACUGAACAGAUACUUCAAGAAGCAAGACCAAGACCAACGGUGAUGGAGGAGAGUACUGCCUGCAUCUCUCAGCUUCCCACCUACCAGCUGGCUCUCCUGACCGCACUGCUGCC